UCUUGGCUAAGGUGUCUUGGCUAAUGUGUCUCGGCUAAGGUGUCUUGGCUAAGGUGUCUUGGCUAAGGUGUCUUGGCUAAGGUGUCUUGGCUAAGGUGUCUUGGCUAAGGUGUCUUGGCUAAGGUGUCUUGGCUAAGGUGCUUGGCUAAGGUGUCUUGGCUAAGGUGUCUUGGCUAAGGUGUCUUGGCUAAUGUGUCUUGGCUAAGGUGUCUUGGCUAAGGUGUCUUGGCUAAGGUGUCUUGGCUAAUGUGUCUCGGCUAAUGUGUCUUGGCUAAGGUGUCUUGGCUAAGGUGUCUUGGCUAAGGUGUCUUGGCUAAGGUGUCUUAGCUAAGGUGUCUUGGCUAAGGUGUCUUGGCUAAUGUGUCUUGGCUAAGGUGUCUUGGCUAAUGUGUCUCGGCUAAGGUGUCUUGGCUAAGGUGUCUUGGCUAAGGUGUCUCGGCUAAUGUGUCUUGGCUAAUGUGUCUUGGCUAAAGUGUCUUGGCUAAGGUGUCUUGGCUAAUGUGUCUUGGCUAAUGUGUCUUGGCUAAAGUGUCUUGGCUAAGGUGUCUUGGCUAAGGUGUCUUGGCUAAUGUGUCUUGGCUAAAGUGUCUUGGCUAAGGUGUCUUGGCUAAUGUGUCUUGGCUAAGGUGUCUUGGCUAAGGUGUCUUGGCUUAUGUGUCUUGGCUAAUGUGUCUCGGCUAAAGUGUCUUGGCUAAGGUGUCUUGGCUAAGGUGUCUUGGCUAAUAUGUCUUGGCUAAAGUGUCUUGGCUUAGGUGUCUUGGCUAAUGUGUCUCGGCUAAGGUGUCUUGGCUAAGGUGUCUUGGCUAAUGUGUCUUGGCUAAGGUGUCUUGGCUAAGGUGUCUUGGCAAAGGUGUCUUGGCUAAGGUGUCUUGGCUAAGGUGUCUUGGCUAAUGUGUCUCGGCUAAAGUGUCUUGGCUAAGGUGUCUUGGCUAAGGUGUCUUGGCUAAGGUGUCUUGGCUAAGGUGUCUUGGCUAAUGCGUCUUGGCUAAUGUGUCUUGGCUAAGGUGUCUUGGCUAAUGUGUCUCGGCUAAGGUGUCUUGGCUAAGGUGUCUUGGCUAAUGUGUCUUGGCUAAUGUGUCUCGGCUAAUGUGUCUUGGCUAAGGUGUCUUGGCUAAGGUGUCUUGGCUAAGGUGUCUUGGCUAAGGUGUCUUGGCUAAUGUGUCUUGGCUAAUGUGUCUUGGCUAAGGUGUCUUGGCUAAGGUGUCUUGGCUAAGGUGUCUUGGCUAAGGUGUCUUGGCUAAGGUGUCUUGGCUAAUGUGUCUCGGCUAAGGUGUCUUGGCUAAGGUGUCUUGGCUAAGGUGUCUUGGCUAAGGUGUCUUGGCUAAUGUGUCUCGGCUAAAGUGUCUUGGCUAAUGUGUCUCGGCUAAUGUGUCUUGGUUAAGGUGUCUUGGCUAAGGUGUCUUGGCUAAUGUGUCUUGGUCAAUGUGUCUUGGCUAAUGUGUCUUGGCUAAUGUGUCUUGGCUAAUGUGUCUUGGCUAAUGUGUCUUGGCUAAUGUGUCUCGGCUAAUGUGUCUUGGCUAAGGUGUCUUGGCUAAUGUGUCUUGGCUAAUGUGUCUUGGCUAAUGUGUCUUGGCUAAUGUGUCUUGGCUAAGGUGUCUUGGCUAAUGUGUCUCGGCUAAUGUGUCUUGGCUAAUGUGUCUUGGCUAAUGUGUCUUGGCUAAUGUGUCUUGGCUAAUGUGUCUUGGCUAAUGUGUCUUGGCUAAUGUGUCUUGGCUAAUGUGUCUCGGCUAAUGUGUCUCGGCUAAUGUGUCUUGGCUAAGGUGUCUUGGCUAAGGUGUCUUGGCUAAUGUGUUUUGCUAAGGUGUCUUGGCUAAGGUGUCUUGGCUAAUGUGUCUUGGCUAAUGUGUCUUGGCUAAGGUGUCUUGGCUAAUGUGUCUUGGCUAAUGUGUCUUGGCUAAUGUGUCUCGGCUAAUGUGUCUUGGCUAAGGUGUCUUGGCUAAGGUGUCUUGGCUAAGGUGUCUUGGCUAAGGUGUCUUGGCUAAGGUGUCUUGGCUAAUGUGUCUUGGCUAAGGUGUCUUGGCUAAGGUGUCUUGGCUAAUGUGUCUUGGCUAAUGUGUCUUGGCUAAUGUGUCUUGGCUAAUGUGUCUUGGCUAAUGUGUCUCGGCUAAGGUGUCUUGGCUAAUGUGUCUUGGCUAAGGUGUCUUGGCUAAGGUGUCUUGGCUAAUGUGUCUUGGCUAAUGUGUCUUGGCUAAGGUGUCUUGGCUAAGGUGUCUUGGCUAAGGUGUCUUGGCUAAUGUGUCUUGGCUAAUGUGUCUUGUCUAAUGUGUCUUGGCUAAUGUGUCUUGGCUAAGGUGUCUUGGCUAAUGUGUCUUGGCUAAUGUGUCUUGGCAAAAGUGUCUUGGCUAAGGUGUCUUGGCUAAUGUGUCUUGGCUAAUGUGUCUUGGCUAAGGUGUCUUGGCUAAGGUGUCUUGGCUAAUGUGUCUUGGCUAAUGUGUCUUGGCUAAGGUGUCUUGGCUAAUGUGUCUUGGCUUAUGUGUCUUGGCUAAUGUGUCUUGGCUAAGGUGUCUUGGCUAAGGUGUCUCGGCUAAUGUGUCUUGGCUAAUGUGUCUUGGCUAAUGUGUCUUGGCUAAUGUGUCUUGGCUAAUGUGUCUUGGCCAAUGUGUCUUGGCUAAUGUGUCUUGGCUUAUGUGUCUUGGCUUAUGUGUCUUGGCUAAUGUGUCUUGGCUAAUGUGUCUUGGCUAAUGUGUCUUGGCUUAUGUGUCUUGGCUAAGGUGUCUUGGCUAAGGUGUCUUGGCUAAAGUGUCUUGGCUAAGGUGUCUUGGCUAAUGUGUCUUGGCUAAUGUGUCUUGGCUAAUGUGUCUUGGCUAAUGUGUCUUGGCUAAGGUGUCUUGGCUAAUGUGUCUUGGCUAAUGUGUCUUGGCUAAUGUGUCUUGGCUAAGGUGUCUUGGCUAAUGUGUCUUGGCUAAUGUGUCUUGGCUAAAGUGUCUUGGCUAAGGUGUCUUGGCUAAGGUGUCUUGGCUAAUGUGUCUUGGCUAAGGUGUCUUGGCUAAGGUGUCUUGGCUAAUGUGUCUUGGCUAAGGUGUCUUGGCUAAGGUGUCUUGGCUAAUGUGUCUUGGCUAAGGUGUCUCGGCUAAUGUGUCUUGGCUAAUGUGUCUUGGCUAAGGUGUCUUGGCUAAUGUAUCUUGGCUAAGGUGUCUUGGCUAAUGUGUCUUGGCUAAUGUGUCUUGGCUAAUGUGUCUUGGCUAAUGUGUCUUGGCUAAUGUGUCUUGGCUAAUGUGUUGGCUAAUGUGUCUUGGCUAAUGUGUCUUGGCUAAUGUGUCUUGGCUAAUGUGUCUUGGCUAAUGUGUCUCGGCUAAUGUGUCUCGGCUAAUGUGUCUUGGCUAAGGUGUCUUGGCUAAGGUGUCUUGGCUAAUGUGUUUUGCUAAGGUGUCUUGGCUAAGGUGUCUUGGCUAAUGUGUCUUGGCUAAUGUGUCUUGGCUAAGGUGUCUUGGCUAAUGUGUCUUGGCUAAUGUGUCUUGGCUAAUGUGUCUUGGCUAAUGUGUCUCGGCUAAUGUGUCUUGGCUAAGGUGUCUUGGCUAAGGUGUCUUGGCUAAUGUGUCUUGGCUAAGGUGUCUUGGCUAAGGUGUCUUGGCUAAGGUGUCUUGGCUAAUGUGUCUCGGCUAAAGUG